UUGGUUAGUUGUUUUUUUUUGUUUUGUUUUUUAAAUAAUGAGUUCAAAAUGUUAGUCAUUAAUUAAUUCAGCCACAAGAUGACUUGUGUGUUUGCUUUAAACUUUACCAACAGUGUUUUGCAAUGAAACCUAACAAAUCAUCGAUGUAGGUAUAUUAAUCACAGCUUUAAUGAAGUUUGAACAGAUGUAAUGGUGUUAGAGUGGCGUGAGUAAAAUUACAAUAAAGAAGAGAUAAUUUUUUAAUAUUUUAAAUGAGAGACACCACAGAGGUUUUUGUCUUCCCACUUUCUCAUCACGUGUUACUUGCCCUGACCUCAGCAGGAGGUUUGAGGUAAUAGUUUCUAAAGUCAGGCCUCACUACCUGUCUGGGAACUUGGUGAUGAUGAGGUGUCAGGUAUUUAACUUAUAAUUGUGUCCUUUUAAUUCCUGCAGGUAUUGCAGGUCCUGCAGCGGAAGAAAACAAACAAGACCACUGUUUGUAUGAACACCAAUUCCUUUCAUUUAAAAAGACAAUACAAAAUCCAGACAUUUUUACAUGAGCAUAAACAAUUUCAAGUGCAAAUACCAUUACCCACUCCAUGCAACACCGUGGCCAAGUCGUUUCUCAAAGGAAAUUAACCAAAAACAAAAUAAAAAUAAAAAUAAAAACCAUUCUUCAGGCAGCGAGUAAAAAAAAAAGAAAAAAAGAAAAAAAAUUCUCACAGAGGGUAAAUUACAAUAAUAACAGCUUUGCAUUUACUUUUCAGAACAUUCAAUAAAGCUGGUUAAUUUGCCAUAUUUAUUUAUUUAUUUAUUUUCUAUUUAUUUAUUAGACCCUUUUCCCUUAUCCUCCAGAUCCAGCUGCACGGGGACAAACCUUUUGCAGGAAGGCGAUAUAAACACAUCUAACCUUAUAUGUUAUAUGUUGUACCAGAAUGGAGAAUUCUUAUUCAGCCUAAACCUGCUUUAAAAAGGAGAGCAAAACAAAAUGAAAAGAUUUCUGGGUUCUUAAGUGGUGCAACUGUCUUAACAUUUUACCCUAAUAUUGGGUGGUCAUGAGGGAGGAAAACAAAAUACUGUAUAUACUUUCCUUCUCAAGUAAAGGCUCAGGAAUUAGACACUGAAUUGGUAGUUUAAUCUGUAUACUGAAUAAACUGCAAACUCAGUGUAUUUCAUUUUUCAAUUUUUUUAUUUUGGCAGAAUGAAUGUUUUAAGUAAUAAUUAAUUGCACGUCUGGGCUGGUCUUUGGAAGAGAAUCUGGGGGGGGGGGGGGCAGAAAAUAAUUUUCUUUGCAAUAUAAACGUUAUUAAAAAAGAAUUUUAUAAAAACAAACACAAUUUCUACAAUAUUUUCUUUUUACAUACCAGUUCAAACUAAAAGAUCAACCCUUUGGACGUUUUUAACGACUGAAUCGAGUUUCUGUUCAGGAGGGAGAAAUUAAAGAUGAAUCCCUUUGCUUGACACUUCUUAUUUAAGGGCUGUUAUUAAUACGAGACUGUUAUUUGGGAUCGGCUUUAGCUCUUAGACUUGACAUUAGUCUACGUUCAUUAAUAUUUACAAUAUACAAUAAAACAAACAAAAAAAACAAAACAGAAAUCCUACCAUGGAGAGACAUCACCCGGUGUUAACGAGUGUGUU
ensembl:lncRNA